rnacentral:misc_RNA from 1 species
AAGGAGUCUAACAUGUAUGCGAGUAAUUGGGUUGCCUAACCCUAGCGCCAAAGUGAAAGCAUAGAUGUUGGGACCCGAAAGAUGGUGAACUAUGCCUGGAUAGGGUGAAGCCAGAGGAAACUCUGGUGGAGGCCCGUAGCGGUUCUGACGUGCAAAUCGUUCGUCAAAGCUGGGUAUAGGGGCGAAAGACUAAUCGAACCAUCUAGUAGCUGGUUCC